rnacentral:rRNA from 1 species
AGGGUGUAAACGCUGCAGACUUGGUGUUGGAGGCCCUUUGGGGGCAUUCAGUGCCGGAGAGAAGUUGUUAAGUCUGCUACUCGGGGAGUACGUCCGCAAGGAUGAAACUUAAGGGAAUUGGCGGGGGAGCACCGCAACGGGAGGAGCGUGCGGUUUAAUUGGAUUCAACACCGUAAAACUCACCAGGGAAGACUGUUACAUGAAGGCCGAGAUGAAGACUCUGCUAGAUUUUCAGAGAGGUGGUGCAUGGCGUCAGUGACU